rnacentral:tRNA from 1 species
CGGGGCGUAGCGCAGUUUGGUAGCGCGCCGCGUUCGGGACGCGGAGGUCGGCAGUUCAAAUCUGCCCGCCCCGA